UACGUAGGGUGCGAGCGUUAAUCGGAAUUACUGGGCGUAAAGGGGGCGCAGGCGGCCGAGAAAGUCGAGUGUGAAAGCCCCGAGCUUAACUUGGGAACUGCGCUCGAAACUACUUGGCUAGAGUGUGGCAGAGGGAGGUGGAAUUCCACGUGUAGCGGUGAAAUGCGUAGAGAUGUGGAGGAACACCGAUGGCGAAGGCAGCCUCCUGGGCCAACACUGACGCUCAUGCACGAAAGCGUGGGGAGCAAACAGG
rnacentral:rRNA from 1 species